CAUUAACAACAAUAAAACUAAAUAGAUUUCGCUGCUUUAUCACACUGAAACAACUCCUAUUGGUAGUUUUGUUUUAUUACUUUGAUCAUUAUUAGUUAAUCUGGCUGUCAUUCAGGAAACUGGACAAUUAAUCGGUUCGCGCCUUUCUACAUUUAAAAAUAUGACCGUUAUUGUCGUCUUUCUGUGAGUGAGGCGGCUAACUGUGAGCUGCUGCUCGUUAUAACUGACUGCUCGGUCGGUCCCGAAUUAUUUAAUAUUUGCCUGUUCAUUUAUUUAUUUAUUUUUUUACCGAAUUUGAGUCGUGACAUGUCAAUGGAGAACAAAAACUGUGAACACAAGAAGGGUCAGAUGUGUUCUGCGAGGUCCUGCAAACAUACUGGCAAAAUGAGGUAAGAAAAUCGCUAUCUUUAUUAUCUUUUGAAAAUAGUAAAGUAUAACCAGAGUUUACAACUGGGUAGCUUAAAGGAUAUGUAACCUGCAGAAGAUAAAUAAAUACCCGUGUGUGUAUUUUUGCAUUGCUUUAUCACAGAUGAUCAAGUUAGAUGCUCACCUAAUGUGUUGCUGAGUCAUCAAGGAUCCAGCUUGUUCUUGAAACAUUGAAGUUUGCACACUGCAAGUGAACGACUCCUUGUGGUGCCAUCCUAAAGAAGUUCAAAAUCACUCUCAAGGACCUUUUCCGGGACUGUGCCCAGCUGGUGGAAUGACCUCCCAAUCUCAAUCCGAACAGCUGAGUCUACUCAUUUUCAAGAAACAUCAUCUUUUUCGCCAGCACUUAACCAGCUAAUACUAGCACUUUUCCUUCUUUUCUUGUCUUUCAUAUUUAAAAUAAAAACCUGGCUAUGCGUUCUGUACUACACUAACUGAGACUUGUCAUGGCACUUGUAUACUGUUGUUGUUCUCUUGUUGACCUGACUGCUUCUAUUGUUCUCAUUUGUAA